rnacentral:rRNA from 1 species
UUGAUUGCCGAAACCGCGGAUAGCUCAUUAUAUCUGUUGUAAUCCGCAAGACUUUCCGAGGUUUUCUCUAACGGAUACCUAUAGCAAAUCUAGAGCUAAUACGCAUUCAAUGUUCGCUACGAACCUACCCCUUACAUUAAAAUAAUAAGGUAGGUCGAGCGAACAGCACUUAUUAGAGCCAUGAGCCAGCACAUGGUGAUUCUGGAUAUUUUGUUGCUAAGCGAUAUGGUCUCGUACCAUCGCUAGUCUUUGCGAGCUUCUGACCUAUCAGCCAGAUAGUUAGAUAUAGGCUAACAAUGGCUUUGACGGGUAACGGGGAAUCUGGGUUCGAUUCCGGAGAGGGAGCCUGAUAAACGGCUACCACAUCUAAGGAAGGCAGCAGGCGCGGAACUUAACCAAAUACUAGCUCUGUGAGUUAGUGACGAAACAUCUUAAUGUGAGGUUCUUAACCGAGCCUUACAAUUGAAAUGAGUUUAUUGUAAAGUCUUAUUACGACAAACUACCGGAGGGCAAGCCUGGUGCCAGCAGCCGCGGUAAUUCCAGCUCCAUUAGCGUAAUCUAAUAUUGCUGCGGUUAAAGUGUUCGUAGUUGGCUUUUAUAGUCU